UAUUGGACAAUGGGGGCAACCCUGAUCCAGCCAUGCAGCGUGUGUGAAGAAGGGCUUUUGGUUGUAAAGCACUUUAAGCAGGGAGGAGAGGCUAAUGGUUAAUACCCAUUAGUUUAGACGUUACCUGCAGAAUAAGCACCGGCUAACUCUGUGCCAGCAGCCGCGGUAAUACAGAGGGUGCGAGCGUUAAUCGGAGUUACUGGGCGUAAAGCGAGUGUAGGUGGCUCAUUAAGUCACAUGUGAAAUCCCCGAGCUUAACCUGGGGACUGCAUGUGAUACUGGUGGUGCUAGAAUAUGUGAGAGGGAAGUAGAAUUCCAGGUGUAGCGGUGAAAUGCGUAGAGAUCUGGAGGAAUACCGAUGGCGAAGGCAGCUUCCUGGCAUAAUAUUGACACUGAGAUUCGAAAGCGUGGGUAGCAAACAG
rnacentral:rRNA from 1 species